UACAGAGGGGGCAAGCGUUGUUCGGAAUUACUGGGCGUAAAGAGCGCGCAGGCGGUCGAUCAAGUCGAGUGUGAAAGCCCCCGGCUCAACUGGGGAGGGUCAUUCAAUACUGAUCGACUCGAAGGCAGGAGAGGGUGAGUGGAAUUCCCGGUGUAGUGGUGAAAUGCGUAGAUAGUCGGGAGGAACACCAGUGGCGAAGGCGACUACCUGGCCUGUUUCUUGACGCUGAGGCGCGAAAGCUAGGGGAGCAAACGGG
rnacentral:rRNA from 1 species